GAGGGAAGCAGUAACUAUUCUUAUAAAUUCUCAAAACAGAGAAAAAAAAAAAAAAAACCAUUAAUUUAGUCUCUCUAGCUCUCUUCGCCUCUGAAGCUGUUUCGAUUAUUUCUUGAGGAAAUGUUCUAAACCCUGGCUCGAUUUUUUCGAGUCAAGAUCGGCCAAUAGUUCUCGAUUUCCCGAUUCAGAAGUGACUUACAGAUGAUCAGACAAUGUUAGUUCUGUUGAUUACGAGUUUUCUUUCUCACCAGACCAUGUCAUUGUCAAUAUUAUUUUUUUCCUCCAUAUUUGUGCUAAUGGAGUCUUCCAAAGAGACAGGCUGUCAAACUCCUGAAGGCCCGAUUCUUUGCAUCAACAAGUGUGGCUUCUUUGGUAGUGCAGCCACCUUGAAUAUGUGUUCCAAGUGCCACAAGGACAUGGUCUUGAAGCAGCAACAGGCUAAACUUGCUGCUUCAUCGAUCGAGAACAUAGUCAAUGGCAGCUCAAUGAGCAGUGAGAAAGAAUCUACUGUUGUUGGUGCUGUGGAUAUGCAAGAUGGAGCAGUGGAGUUAAUGGUUGUUCCUGCACAAACAUCCGGUGAUAAGUUGUCAGUCCAGAGUUCAGAGGUGAAGGGAAAAGAGGGCCCAAACAGAUGCACUGCUUGCCGUAAACGUGUGGGUUUAACAGGUUUCAGUUGCAGGUGUGGGAAUCUCUUUUGUUCGGUUCAUCGUUACUCUGACAAACACAAUUGCCCAUUUGAUUACCGGACUGCUGCUCAAGAUGUUAUAGCCAAAGAAAAUCCCGUCGUCAAAGCAGAAAAGCUCGAUAAAAUCUAGACAUCAUGGUCGCAAAAUCUAUGAACUGAAACAUAAUGCUUUCACUUUCUAUAUCCGUAUGUCUUCAUAUAAGUUGGACACUUGUCUUAUUAGGUCUCAUGCUGUGAUGUGAAUGGCAUAAGACAAGAGAAGGUGGCAUCAUUGCAUUCUAUUAUAGUUCAAGUCUUGUUGGUUGGCUAGGGUAACUUUGGUUUGGUUCCGUGUGUAGUAGUCAUUGUGCUGGUUUGAAGGAUAUUGAGAUUGGUCCUUGAAUAACUUCUCUAAUUCCUGUUUCCUUAUGUUCCACCGACUGUGCAGUUCUUUCUGGUAUUUUAUAGAAGAAGAACGACUAUGCUUUUCCCUGCUUGGCGAGCUUUGAGCUUGCAACGGCUGAUGGCUUCUUUGAGUGUGUCUUUCUGCAUGCUUUGGUCCUUUUAUCUGUCUGUCUUUCUUAAAUUAUAAUAAAUGGGUGAAAAGUACUCUUUUCGAGCCAUGAUGGAGAUUUGUAGAAGAAUGUGAUGAUUGUCCUGUUAUAAGAUGUUUCACUUCAGAUUUGUUGGCACGAAUGGAGUUUUUGUUGUGUUUUAUGGCAAAGGUUUAUAUUUGAAAUAGACAUUACUUAGGGCCCGUUUGGAAUA